UUUCGCAAUGCCCGAAAGGGUGACGAGGCGACGCCGCGUGAGUGAGGAAGGCCUUCGGGUUGUAAAGCUCUGUCAGGAGUUAAGAAAUAUAAGUGUGCUAAUACCACAUUUAUUUGACAAAAGCUCCAAAGGAAGCCACGGCUAACUCUGUGCCAGCAGCCGCGGUAAUACAGAGGUGGCAAGCGUUGUUCGGAAUUAUUGGGCGUAAAGAGCACGUAGGUGGGUUUGUAAGUCAGAUGUGAAAGCCUUCUGUUCAACGGAAGAAUUGCAUCUGAAACUGCGAGUCUUGAGUGUAGGAGGGGAGAAUGGAACUUCUGGUGGAGCGGUGAAAUGCGUAGAUAUCAGAAGGAACGCCGGCGGCGAAAGCGAUUCUCUGGCCUAUUACUGACACUCAGUGUGCGAAAGCUAGGGGAGCAAACGGGAUUAGAUACCCCGGUAGUCCUAGCUGUAAACGAUGGGCACUAAGUAGAGGGGUUUUA
rnacentral:rRNA from 1 species